rnacentral:rRNA from 1 species
AUACAGAGGGUGCAAGCGUUAUUCGGAAUUACUGGGCGUAAAGCGCGCGUAGGCGGAUGAUUAAGUCAGUUGUGAAAGCCCUGGGCUCAACCUAGGAACUGCAUCUGAUACUGGUCGUCUAGAGUUUAAGAGAGGGAAGUGGAAUUCCAGGUGUAGCAGUGAAAUGCGUAGAUAUCUGGAGGAACAUCAGUGGCGAAGGCGACUUCCUGGCUUAAAACUGACGCUGAGGUGCGAAAGCGUGGGUAGCGAACGGGAGUAGAUACCCUAGUAGUCC